rnacentral:lncRNA from 1 species
AAGAGCUCCUACCUCCUCUGUUCUUUUAAUCUCCUGCUGCGGGUGGCAGACAUGGGAGAGACAGGCAAGCUGCAAAGGGAAGUCGACGAAAUAAAAUUAAAGCCCUACAAUCGUGUUCGUGUCAAUGUAGAUGGGGUGCCCCCCUCGGUUUGCUCACAGAGGUGGGUGUGAGAUCCUACAGGACGGUCUGGAAGACAUCCCAUGGAAGGCACUUUAUUUUGCCCAGAAGCUGGAGGAAAAGCAGAAGGAUGCUGAACACUGACUAAGAGGAGAGAGCGCACAUUACAUGGAGACCAUGGUCCCUAUACCAGAAACAUGAGAGUAGAGAGAAGCAAAGCCAGCAUCGUGGAGCCAGUCCCUUUAUCCAGGGUCUUGGAGGGAUACAGUCUUCUGUAGAAAUUAAAUAAAAACUGAAUUCUUCAAUGGGUAUUUUGAGAAGAGAGCCACUGUAAGCUUAUACACUGUGAAUUGCAAAAUGUUACUGCCUCUGGGUGGACAGGUUUUAAAAAGACUUUUUUUUUUUUCCUCCUGGCAUGACUGACAGAGGGAAGGCUGGGUUUCAAUCCCAUCUUUCCCUUCCCUUGCCCAGUGCUUCUUUAUGUGCACAACCUGCACAACUAUAUGUGGUUUGCAAACACGCAUAAGCAAAGACUAACAGCUUCUGAAACAAACUCUGAAUAAAAGAGGGAGCAUAUUAAGGCAGAUGGCAGAGGAGGUGAGCAGCAUGGGCAGAUAGAAGCAUCACAGAGACUACAAGAAGAAUGUGCCAGACCAGCUCAUAGUGGCCACACUUAUUAAGAAUUAUCAUCAGCUCUUUAGGAUUUGGAA